GACGAACGCUGGCGGCGUGCCUAAUACAUGCAAGUUGAGCGAUGAAGAUUGGUGCUUGCACCAAUUUGAAGAGCAGCGAACGGGUGAGUAACGCGUGGGGAAUCUGCCUUUGAGCGGGGGACAACAUUUGGAAACGAAUGCUAAUACCGCAUAACAACUUUAAACAUAAGUUUUAAGUUUGAAAGAUGCAAUUGCAUCACUCAAAGAUGAUCCCGCGUUGUAUUAGCUAGUUGGUGAGGUAAAGGCUCACCAAGGCGAUGAUACAUAGCCGACCUGAGAGGGUGAACGGCCACAUUGGGACUGAGACACGGCCCAAACUCCUACGGGAGGCAGCAGUAGGGAAUCUUCGGCAAUGGACGAAAGUCUGACCGAGCAACGCCGCGGGAGUGAAGAAGGUUGUCGGAUCGUAAAACUCUGUUGGUAGAGAAGAACGUUGGUGAGAGUGGAAAGCUCAUCAAGUGACGGUAACUACCCAGAAAGGGACGGCUAACUACGUG
rnacentral:rRNA from 1 species